UCGAGGAUCUUCGUCAAUGGGCGCAAGCCUGAACGAGCGACGCCGCGUGCGCGAUGAAGGCCUUCGGGUUGUAAAGCGCGAAAGUGGGGAUAAAGCCGAAAGGUUGAUAGAUCCACAGUAAGGACGGGCUAAGUUCGUGCCAGCAGCCGCGGUAAGACGAACUGUCCUAACGUUGUUCGGAAUCACUGGGCUUAAAGGGCGCGUAGGCGGUCCGACAAGUCAGGGGUGAAAUCCUGCAGCUUAACUGCAGAAGUGCCUUUGAUACUGUCGGUCUGGAGGGAGAUAGGGGUGUGUGGAACUUCCAGUGGAGCGGUGAAAUGCGUUGAUAUUGGAAGGAACGCCGGAGGCGAAAGCGGCGCACUGGAUCUCUUCUGACGCUGAGGCGCGAAAGCUAGGGGAGCAAACGGGAUUAGAUACCCCCGUAGUCC
rnacentral:rRNA from 1 species